AAGUCGUAACAAGGUCUCCGUAGGUGAACCUGCGGAGGGAUCAUUAACACUUUUAACAAAAAACAACAAAAACAACCCGGUAACCAAAAAAAAAACUACUUUAAGCGUUUUGUUUUGUUUUUCUUAUCGCUCUAUUUUCUCUUGAGGAAAUAAAAUGAUAAUAAAACAAAAACAAAAAACAACACACGCUUUGAAGUAUUUCUUUUUUACUCUUUUUUUAUUCACACCUAGUGUAAAUAACAAAAAGUAGUAUAAAGAAUAAAUCGUUAUACUAUUUAUGUAUCAUGUAUGUUUAUUCAUUCAACUUGAUUAAACAUUCAAACCUAAAUAAACUAUUGUACAACUCUUAACAAUGGAUAUCUAGGCUCUC
rnacentral:misc_RNA from 1 species